GAUGAACGCUAGCGGCAGGCUUAACACAUGCAAGUCGAGGGGCAGCACGUCUUCGGAUGGUGGCGACCGGCGCACGGGUGCGUAACGCGUAUAGAACCUACCUUUUACAGGGGAAUAGCCCAGAGAAAUUUGGAUUAAUGCCCCAUAGUAUUAUAGUAUGGCAUCAUAUUAUAAUUAAACAUUUAUGGGUAAAAGAUGGCUAUGCGUUCUAUUAGCUAGUAGGUAAGGUAACGGCUUACCUAGGCAACGAUAGAUAGGGGUCCUGAGAGGGAGAUCCCCCACACUGGUACUGAGACACGGACCAGACUCCUACGGGAGGCAGCAGUGAGGAAUAUUGGACAAUGGGCGAGAGCCUGAUCCAGCCAUGCCGCGUGCAGGAAGACGGCCCUAUGGGUUGUAAACUGCUUUUGUACGGGAAGAAACACCCCCUCGUGAGGGGGCUUGACGGUACCGUAAGAAUAAGGAUCGGCUAACUCCGUG
rnacentral:rRNA from 1 species